UACAGAGGGUGCAAGCGUUAAUCGGAAUUACUGGGCGUAAAGCGUGCGCAGGCGGUGAUGUAAGACAGUUGUGAAAUCCCCGGGCUCAACCUGGGAACUGCAUCUGUGACUGCAUGGCUAGAGUACGGUAGAGGGGGAUGGAAUUCCGCGUGUAGCAGUGAAAUGCGUAGAUAUGCGGAGGAACACCGAUGGCGAAGGCAAUCCCCUGGACCUGUACUGACGCUCAUGCACGAAAGCGUGGGGAGCAAACAGG
rnacentral:rRNA from 1 species